rnacentral:misc_RNA from 1 species
GAUCAGCCGGAUCAGUGCAGUGGAUACCGCUUGGAGCUUACUUCACAACGUUUACGGUGGCGGUACGAUCGUAUGAUACGGAUUACGGGACGGGAGGCGCAAACUCCGCUCCAGCAGGCUCUUCUGUCUCCUCAGAAAGAGAGAGAGAGGAACGCGAUCGACUGCACCUCGAUGCGCGAUCUCUCGUUACGCACGUUGCGACCGCGUGGCUCCGAGUGACUUCAAUCUCCCGUCGGUUUGCCGCCGUUGGGUUGCAUCAAACUAAACAAGGCUCGGCCACCCGCACGCAAGCACGCACGCACGAACGCACGCACGGAGCCGAGGAUGGGCGACAAUGGCAGAGGAGACGUCGCAUCGGUAUCGCCGGCGACAUCGGAGGACGCGGCUAAGGCGGAAUUGUACAAGGAGGAGGCGAACGAGUACUUCAAAAAUCAAGUAUACGACAAAGCUAUUGAAUUAUAUACCAAAGCCAUAGAAUUAAAUCCAUCAGUAGCCAUAUAUUAUGGCAAUAGGAGUAUUGCCUAUCUAAGAACAGAAUAUUUUGGAUAUGCGUUGACAGACGCUUCCACAGCUAUCAUGUUAGAUAAAAAUUAUGUCAAAGGCUAUUAUCGGAGAGCUGCCGCUUAUAUGUCCCUCGGCAAGUUCAAACUGGCUCUCAUGGAUUAUAAGACUGUUGUAAAAGCUAGACCCAAUGAUAAAGAUGCAAGCGACAGAUGCUCGGAAUGUUCCAAGAUGAUUAAAGUGUCAGCUUUUAACAAAGCCAUCUCUGUCGAGGAUAAAAAGAAUAUAGCUGACACGAUUAAUCUAGAAGAUAUGGCGAUUGAAGGUGAAUACACAGGUCCAAAAUUGGUUGAUGGGAAAGUUACUUUAGAAUUCAUGAAAGAUUUAUUAGAAUGGUAUAAAAAUCAAAAUAAGUUGCACCGUAAAUAUGCUUACAAAAUCCUAUUGGACGUCAAAUCGUGGUUUAUGGCACAACCUAGUUUAGUGGACAUUACAAUUCCAGAAGAAAAUAAAUUCACCAUUUGUGGGGAUAUACAUGGUCAAUAUUAUGACUUGCUUAAUAUAUUUAAACUGAACGGAUUACCAUCAGAAACUAAUCCAUAUUUAUUCAAUGGAGAUUUUGUAGACAGAGGUUCAUUCUCUGUAGAAUGCAUAUUUACUUUAUUUGGUUUUAAAUUAUUAUAUCCAAAUCACUUUUUUAUGUCAAGAGGUAAUCAUGAGUCAGCAACAAUGAACCAAAUGUAUGGAUUUGACGGAGAAGUUAAAGCUAAAUAUUCUGUCCAGAUGGCAGAAUUGUUUACAGAGGUUUAUAACUGGCUCCCUCUUGCACACUGCCUCAAUCGUAAAGUGCUUGUGAUGCACGGUGGAUUGUUUUCGCGAGAUGAUGUGACGUUGCAAGAAAUUAGAGAAAUCGACAGAAACAGACAACCACCUGACGAAGGAUUGAUGUGUGAACUAUUGUGGUCUGAUCCGCAACCACAAAUGGGCCGGGCGCCCAGCAAGAGAGGCGUAGGUGUUCAAUUCGGACCCGACGUCACACAGAAUUUCCUCAGUAUAAAUUCCCUUGACUACAUCGUGAGAAGUCACGAAGUUAAAAACGAUGGAUACGAAGUGGGACAUGACGGAAAGUGUAUCACAGUAUUCUCUGCUCCAAAUUACUGUGAUACUAUGGGUAACCGAGGUGCCUUUAUCACACUUAAUGGUAGUGACAUGAAACCUUAUUUUACAUCGUACGAUGCAAUGCCUCAUCCAAACGUAAGGCCGAUGGCUUACGCCAAUUCUUUACUAAAGUUCAUGUGCUAGUGGAACAUCUAGGUAUUAUUGAAAAAUGAAUAAUAAUAACUGAAAUAUAAGUAGUCCAAUCAAAGUGAGAUCGCGAUCGAAUUUCUUGUAUUAUAAAAUAUAUGCGAUGAGAAUGCAUAAUAUUGAUGGGUACAAAAGCGAGAAAAGUUUGCUUAUUUUUACAACAGGCAAACAAAUCUAUCAGACUUCUUAUCUAUAAGAAAACACGGCUCAUCAAACACUGGCGAUUUGUGUUCGUUUGUAAUAAAAUGGCGCGAAGAGAACGUUUCUAUUUUGUACCCUCAAUCUAUGACCACCUUGCUCGUUAAAGAUACCUACGUGCGCGUAAAUAUAAAAAGAACAAAUAAUUUUGAUCUCGAAGAUAUUUCCACAGAAUUUUAACUUUAUAAUAUAUUAUUUGUAUGAAGCGCUGAAUCUUAAACUUUUAAUCGAUUCUUUAGCGACCAACGGUGGAGUUUCAAUGAAAUAUAGUAAUUACAAGAGUAUACAUACAUGCGUAUGCAAAAACCUAGAAUAAUUAUGUAGUACAAUGUUCUAACCAAUCACUAUUUGUCACGUUAUUUGUGACAAUUUUUUUACAAAUCUAUUGUGAUUGGAAGGACUUCUUUGAUCUAACAUUUUGUUUUUUGUUAAUAAUAAAUGAUGUUUAUGAUGUACAUACAUAAA